GCAGUCGAACGGGAUCCCUGGCAGCUUGCUGUCGGGGUGAGAGUGGCGAACGGGUGAGUAAUGCGUGACCAACCUGCCCUGUGCACCGGAAUAGCUCCUGGAAACGGGUGGUAAUACCGGAUGCUCCGCUCCAUCGCAUGGUGGGGUGGGAAAUGCUUUUGCGGCAUGGGAUGGGGUCGCGUCCUAUCAGCUUGUUGGCGGGGUGAUGGCCCACCAAGGCGUUGACGGGUAGCCGGCCUGAGAGGGUGACCGGCCACAUUGGGACUGAGAUACGGCCCAGACUCCUACGGGAGGCAGCAGUGGGGAAUAUUGCACAAUGGGCGCAAGCCUGAUGCAGCGACGCCGCGUGCGGGAUGGAGGCCUUCGGGUUGUAAACCGCUUUUGUUCAAGGGCAAGGCACGGUUUCGGCCGUGUUGAGUGGAUUGUUCGAAUAAGCACCGGCUAACUACGUGCCAGCAGCCGCGGUAAUACGUAGGGUGCGAGCGUUAUCCGGAUUUAUUGGGCGUAAAGGGCUCGUAGGCGGUUCGUCGCGUCCGGUGUGAAAGUCCAUCGCCUAACGGUGGAUCUGCGCCGGGUACGGGCGGGCUGGAGUGCGGUAGGGGAGACUGGAAUUCCCGGUGUAACGGUGGAAUGUGUAGAUAUCGGGAAGAACACCAAUGGCGAA
rnacentral:rRNA from 1 species